CUAGCUUUGAACACAAGAUCCUCCUGUCUCUGCCUCUUGAGCCCCUUUGCAUUAUAGGCUUGGAAUUACCAGGCCGGGACUCCAUUACAUUUUAAUAACUUGAUUGAAGUAUAAUUUACAUACCAUGAAAUCCAGUCAUUUGAAUGAUCAAUUCAGGAUUUUCAAAAUGUAUUUUUAAGGUUUCAUUAAAAUUAAAGAGUUAGUAGCUGAGUCUUAUAUAAAUUUUAUUUUUAAGUUACUAUUACUAUCAUAUUUCUAGAGAAGUAAUUCUACUUAAAAUGAAAUUGGUUUUAACACAUUUCACAUGCUCCUCUUUUAUAUUAUUUUUCUUUUUGUCAUAGAAUAGUUUUCUGUUUUAAAUUGUUAACAUUCCUUUCCCUUUAAUUUUCAGAGAAGGAUUGCUUACCUUCUGGAACACCUGCACUGAACACCAAGGAGCAGGAAACAUCAGCAAUAGUAAUGGAGGAAGGUGAUGGUGAUGGAGAGGUGCAACCUUUCACUGUCCCAUGACAUGGCCAUACAAGACCAUACCCACUCCCGGACAUGGUGAAAUGGCUCACAAGUUAAUGCCUCACAUCUUGGCAGCCAAGGAGGUUCUCCAGAAAAACUAUGACUGGCAUCCUACUCUUUUAAUUUUCUGGAAAUGAAAAUGUUAAAAAUUUUAAUCAUUAAAGUGUUCAUUGUUUUAAAGGACUGGUACCAUUAAAUUCGCCAUUUUAGCCCUGUUAAGUGGACAACUCAGAGGCAUUAAUUACACUCACAAUAUUGUACAACCUUCUGUUUCCCAGAACAGUUUUGUCCCUCCAAACAGAAGCUCUGCUACCAUGUAAGUAAGAACUCACAUUCCUCCUCCUCCACCCCUGGCUGCCACCAUUCUUUUUUUAAAAUUUGUUCUAAUUAGUUAUACAUGGCAGUUGAAGGCACUUUGGCACAUCAUACACAAAUAGAGUAUAGCUUCUCAUGUUUCUGGUUGUACGUGAUGUAGAAUCACAUCAGUCAUGUGGUCACACAUGCACCUGGGGUAAUAAUGUCUACUCUUCUUCCUACUCCAUACCUGGCUCCCCUCCUUUACCUCUCCUCUGCCUAAUACAGAGUAACUUUAUUCUUCCAUAGCCACGCUCCUUAUUGUGAAUCAGUGUCAAAAUAUCAGAGAAAACAUUUAAACUGUGGUUUUUGGAAUUGGCCUAUUUUGCUUACUAUGAUAUUCUCUACUUCCUCUCAUUUCCUGGCAGAUGCCAUGACUUUGUUUUUCUUUAAAACUGAGUAAUAUUCCAUUGUGCAUAUUGACCACAUUUUAUUUAUCUGUUCCUCUGUUGAAGGACACCUAGGUUGGUUCCAUAGUAAAACUCUUGUGAGUUGAGCUACUUUA